rnacentral:rRNA from 1 species
AACGCUAGCUACAGGCUUAACACAUGCAAGUCGAGGGGCAGCGGGAUUGAAGCUUGCUUCAAUUGCCGGCGACCGGCGCACGGGUGAGUAACGCGUAUCCAACCUUCCGUACACUCAGGGAUAGCCUUUCGAAAGAAAGAUUAAUACCUGAUGGUAUCUUAAGCACACAUGUAAUUAAGAUUAAAGAUUUAUCGGUGUACGAUGGGGAUGCGUUCCAUUAGGUAGUAGGCGGGGUAACGGCCCACCUAGCCUACGAUGGAUAGGGGUUCUGAGAGGAAGGUCCCCCACAUUGGAACUGAGACACGGUCCAAACUCCUACGGGAGGCAGCAGUGAGGAAUAUUGGUCAAUGGACGAGAGUCUGAACCAGCCAAGUAGCGUGAAGGAUGAAGGUCCUACGGAUUGUAAACUUCUUUUAUAAGGGAAUAAACCCUCCCACGUGUGGGAGCUUGUAUGUACCUUAUGAAUAAGCAUCGGCUAACUCCGUGCCAGCAGCCGCGGUAAUACGGAGGAUGCGAGCGUUAUCCGGAUUUAUUGGGUUUAAAGGGAGCGCAGACGGGUCGUUAAGUCAGCUGUGAAAGUUUGGGGCUCAACCUUAAAAUUGCAGUUGAUACUGGCGUCCUUGAGUGCGGUUGAGGUGUGCGGAAUUCGUGGUGUAGCGGUGAAAUGCUUAGAUAUCACGAAGAACUCCGAUUG